ensembl:misc_RNA Metazoa_SRP Metazoan signal recognition particle RNA
GCCGGGCUUUGUGGCGGGCGCCUGUAAUUUCAGCUACCCCAGAGGCUGAGGCAGGAGAAUUGCUUGACCCUGGGAGCCGAGGGUUGCAGUGGGCUGAAAUCAAGCCACUGCACUCCACCCUGGGCGACAGAGCAAGACUCUGUCUCAA